rnacentral:tRNA from 1 species
GGUUGGUCUUGCUGUUCAGGUGGAAGGGACGGAUUGCAAAUCCGUGAAGACCGGUUCGAUUCCGGUACCCGCCUCCA